UAGGAAAUAAAUUUUAUUAUUUUUCGAUAUCAUUUACCUAGUGAUCGAAUGGGCUCAAAAUCAACAAAUUUCAAUGGCCGUAGUGAGCCGUUUGCGAGUUUAACGGUGUAAAAAUAUCCAAAUCAUGUGAAAUUUUGAUAGAAAAUUUUUUAUACUAUAUAAAACAAUAUCAAUAUCUUUGAUUUAAAAUUUUAAUGUCAUAUUAUUACAUUUUAUAAGAUUUGUAUUUUCAGCCGUUGAUUUUGAGCCCCUUCGUUCACUAGGCAAAUGAUAUCGUAAAAUCAUAAAAUUUAUUUCCUACGUACUUCAAAUACUCUAUAUUAUAUAUAUAUAUAAUAUUACUUUUUAUAAAUAAUAGGGUAAACUUUAAAUACCACACCUGUAGUUUUGUAUUUUCUCACUUUAGUAACCUGUGGUUUAAAGUUGAGCAAUUUAGUAUCUUGUGUUUUUUUUUUUUUUCGUCAGCCCUUUCGUAAAUUUUUCGUUAAAUUAUAUGUAAAAAAUUUCAAAUACUAUAUAUAUAAUUUAUCGAUUUUCACUUUAGUUUAAAGUGGAGCAAUUUAGUAUCUUGUGUUUUCUUUUUUUUCGUCAGCCCUUUCGUAAAUUUUUCGUUAAAUUAUAUGUAAAAAAUUUCAAAUACUAUAUAUAUAAUUUAUCGAUUUUCACUUUAGUACCUUUAGUUUUGCCUUUGUCAUUGAUUUAAUGAAAAAAAAAAUAGUAAAGAAAAUAACAAAAAAAAUAAAAUCACAAAGUAUAGAAGUAAGACACUUUAAACUAUAGAGUAUUAAAGUAAAAAAAUGCGGAACUAUAUGGAUGGUAUUUGAAAUUUUUUCUAAAUAAUAACUAGAUUAGGGGUGUAAUGUGGGU
rnacentral:lncRNA from 1 species